GACGAACGCUGGCGGCGUGCUUAACACAUGCAAGUCGAACGCUGAAGCUUGGUGCUUGCACUGGGUGGAUGAGUGGCGAACGGGUGAGUAAUACGUGAGUAACCUGCCCUUGACUCUGGGAUAAGCCUGGGAAACUGGGUCUAAUACUGGAUAUGACAUGCCACUGCAUGGUGGUGUGUGGAAAGGGGUUUACUGGUUUUGGAUGGGCUCAAGGCCUAUCAGCUUGUUGGUGGGGUAAUGGCCUACCAAGGCGACGACGGGUAGCCGGCCUGAGAGGGUGACCGGGCACACUGGGACUGAGACACGGCCCAGACGCCUACGGGAGGCAGCAGUGGGGAAUAUUGCACAAUGGGCGGAAGCCUGAUGCAGCGACGCCGCGUGAGGGAUGACGGCCUUCGGGUUGUAAACCUCUUUCAGCACGGAAGAAGCGAGAGUGACGGUACGUGCAGAAGAAGCGCCGGCUAACUACGUG
rnacentral:rRNA from 1 species